rnacentral:rRNA from 1 species
GACGUAGGGCGCGAGCGUUGUCCGGAUUUAUUGGGCGUAAAGAGCUCGUAGGUGGUUUGUCGCGUUGUUCGUGAAAACCGGGGGCUUAACCCUCGGCGUGCGGGCGAUACGGGCAGACUGGAGUACUGCAGGGGAGACUGGAAUUCCUGGUGUAGCGGUGGAAUGCGCAGAUAUCAGGAGGAACACCGGUGGCGAAGGCGGGUCUCUGGGCCGAUACUGACGCUGAGGAGCGAAAGCGUGGGGAGCGAACAGG